CCCGCCGGCGACCGGCGCACGGGUGAGUAACACGUAUGAAACCUGCCCGUAGCAGGGGGAUAAGCGGAAGAAAUUCCGUCUAAUACCGCAUAACAACCCAUGGAGGCAUCUCUGUGGGUUUAAAGGAAGCGAUUCCGGCUACGGAUGGUCAUGCGUCGCAUUAGCUUGUUGGCGGGGUAACGGCCCACCAAGGCGACGAUGCGUAGGGGUUCUGAGAGGAAGGUCCCCCACACUGGUACUGAGACACGGCCCAGACUCCUACGGGAGGCAGCAG
rnacentral:rRNA from 1 species